UACGUAGGGUCCAAGCGUUAUCCGGAAUCACUGGGCGUAAAGCGUGCGUAGGUGGUUCGUUAAGUGAGAUGUUAAAACGUGUGGCUCAACCAUAUCGUUGUAUCUCAUACUGGCGAACUAGAGGAUGGCAGAGGCAAGUGGAAUUUCUCGUGUAGCAGUGAAAUGCGUAGAUAUGAGAAGGAACACCAAUGGCGAAGGCAGCUUGCUGGGCCAACCCUGACACUGAGGUACGAAAGCGUGGGGAGCGAACAGG
rnacentral:rRNA from 1 species